CCCGGGUUAUACUUCAAUUUUUCUAUUUCUCUUAUUCUCAAAUUCACCAGCGACACUCAUUUCUCUAUUUCUUUUUUUUUCACCCAAAACAAAAACUACCUUAUCUUUCUUUCUCCAUCUGCACUCCCUAUAUUUUCACUUUAUCCCUAAUGUUCAUCAUCUUUCUCUCUCUUCUCAUUCCUCUUCAUUGUUCGUAGCAUAUUUCUUUGAAACCCAAAAAUUUUCCCCAAAUUUUCUAUGCCUUUUUUUUCGUAUCUCAUUUGAUUUUUUCUUCGAAAAUUUCUUUUUUUUUUCUAGAAUUUUGUGGGUUUGAAUUUGAAAUUGGACCCCUUAUUUUUGGAAUUCUUAUUAUGAAUCUCAAUGUUUUUAGUCGCAAUUCAAAAUUUUCAGGUUUAAUCUCAAAGUUCCAAAACAAAAAAAAUCGAUUUUUGGGUUGGAAACUCAAGAUUUGAAGAUGUUGGUGUUCUUCCUUCAACAACGGCGAUUUCCCUUUCAAUCUUGCUUCACUUUGUUAUGAAGAUGAUAAUGAAGUCGGAGACGAAGUUUGAACGAUGAAGAUGCUGAUGAUGAAGGCGAAGAUGAGUGAUGAGUGAUGGAGAUGUUGAUGAACGAUGAUGAUUGAUGUUAUUUUUUUGUAAUUAUUUACAUAUUAUCAAUAAAUUUUUUUUGUUCUUUUUUUUUGUAAUUAUUUACCUAUUAUUAAUAAAAUUCAAUUUUUUUAUUAAUUGGUAAAGUUGUGUAAGGAUCUUUGUAUAUUUACUAAGUAAAUGAUUAAGGGAUUUCCCUAAUAUAUGGUCUCCUACAAAUAUUUGAUGGUUUAAGUGUGAAUUUUGGGUUUGAAUUUAAGGGAUUUGCCUUAUUUUGACACAAUAAAAACAGCAAGAAAUCAAGUAUUAAAUCAUCAAUUUUUUU